CCUUCUCGGAGGCAUCGUGCACGCCCUGCCCGUCCCAUAUCAUACCUGUGAACUUUUUGGUAGGCGGGUUUGUGUCGGCCUCGAAAGGGGUCGACCGGCCCUCCGGCCGUCUUUAUAUACACACCAUACGAGUCUUUAGAAUGUUUGUGCGUCUCGACGCAUCUUAUAUAUAACUUUCAGCGACGGAUCUCUUGGCUCUCGCAUCGAUGAAGAACGCAGCGAAACGCGAUAAGUAAUGUGAAUUGCAGAAUUCAGUGAAUCAUCGAAUCUUUGAACGCACCUUGCGCUCCUCGGUAUUCCGAGGAGCAUGCCUGUUUGAGUGUCAUGAAAUUAUCAACCCCUCCUCCUUCAUCGGCGGUGGGGCUUGGACUUGGAGGCUUUGCGGGCUUUUAACGAGUCGGCUCCUCUCAAAUGCAUUAGCUCGAACCCCUGCGGAUCGGCCGUCGGUGUGAUAUAAUGUCUACGUCGUGGUCGUGAGCGUCGGAUCGGCUUCUGAUGGUCCCCUUUCGGAGGCGGAAUUUGAACUUGUGACCUCAAAUCAGGUAGGACUACCCGCUGAACUUAAGCA
rnacentral:rRNA from 1 species